UAUAUAUAUAUAUAUAUAUAUAUAUAUAUAUAUUAGGGCAAAGUAGCUGUAAAGAAAUCAAAAAUAAAGAAAAGGGGGAGAGAUUGGAAGAAUUCAAGUGAGAGGAAAGAAGAAGAAUAGGAGGGGGAAAAGAUUAAAAAAAAAAAAAAUUGAGAUAAUUUUGGUGUUAAAGGGAAAAGAGGAAUUUAGGGCUUUUAAUAGAGCAAGGAGAAAGGAAUUUAGGGCUUGUAAUAAAGAAAAAGAAAAGGAAAAAGAGCAAAGAAAGAGAGAGAAAUAGAAAAAAUUUAGGCCCUGCUUGUAUUGAUUCUCCCAAAACAGAGGAGUUAUAAAAAACAGUUUUUCAAUUUUUUAGUCUACUUGAAACUUGUUUCAUGAAAACUGUUUUCAUAAAACUGAGAUAAAUGAGUAUCAGUUUUCUGAAAACAACAAAAUGUUGUUUUAGGAGUUUUUAAAACAAAGUGAAAACACGAAGGAGCAAUGCGGAGAACACUGUGCACUUAAAAAAAAACGGAAGGGCCUAUCUCGGACAUAACCUACCUUUUACGCCUCCUCCGAAACAGGCUCUGCAACGCCUCUCCUCUCUCUCUCUCUCUACGGCUUCUCAGCUUCUCUCUCCUCUCUACGGCUUCUCUCUCCUCUCUACCGCUUCUUUCUGCAAGAUCGCUACACUUCUGUCCUCUAGAUCCAACUUUUACUCAGAUUUUGUUGAGGAAAAUACUAUGUAGUUGAUUUUGGUUACCCAUGCACAAAAGGAUUUCUGCCUCCAUAUCAUGGUCAAAAAUAUCAUCUACAAGAUUAUAGGGGUAACAAUUGGCAAUCGCGUGGUGCAAAGGAAUUGUUUAACUACUGGCAUUCAUCACUUCACAAUGUCAUUGAACGUUAUUUUGGAGUACUAAAGGCUCGUUUUCCCAUUUUAAAGCUUAUGUCUUGCUAUAAAUUGGUUAGACAACGACUGAUAAUAACUGCUUGUUGCACGAUUCACAAUUUCACUCGUCAAAAUAUAUUAGAUGAUCGUUUUUUUGUGGAGUAUGGGGAAGAAGAUGUUAAUGUCAUUGAUGGGGAGAAUGGUAACAGUAGUAAUGCUGGUGUACUGAAUGCACUUAAUUAAUCUGAUGAUGGUGCAGCACAAAUGGGAGCCCUUAGAACUCAUCUGACAAAUCAAAUGUGGGCAUUAUUCAGAGGCAAUGAUAGAUGAAGUUAUUUUUAUAAUUUUCUACUGUUUUGUUUUGAUUACCUAUUUGUGUAAUUAUUUAAUAUUUUGUUUUGGUUAUGUAUGACUAAAAUUAAUGUUUGUACAAUUAAAAGUGCAUAUGACACUUGAAGUAAUUAAUGUAACUCUUUUAUUGUAUUUAAAUUUAAUCAAAUUUUAAUUAAACUUAA